AUUGAACGCUGGCGGCAGGCCUAACACAUGCAAGUCGAACGGAGUGGCGGACGGGUGAGUAAUGUCUGGGAAACUGCCUGAUGGAGGGGGAUAACUACUGGAAACGGGCGCUAAUACCGCAUACUAUCAGAUGAGCCUAGGUCGGAUUAGCUAGUUGGUGGGGUAAAGGCCUACCAAGGCGACGAUCCGUAACUGGUCGGAGAGGAUGAUCGGUCACACUGGAACGGGGACACGGUCAAGACUCCAACGGGAGGCAGCAGUGGGGAAGAUUGGACAUGGGGCGAAAGCCUGAUCCAGCCAUGCCGCGUGUGUGAAGAAGGCCUUCGGAUUGUAAAGCACUUUAAGUUGGGAGGCGUUACCAACAGAAUAAGCACCGGCUAACUUCGUGCCAGCAGCCGCGGUAAUUC
rnacentral:rRNA from 1 species